rnacentral:rRNA from 1 species
AGAGUUUGAUCCUGGCUCAGAAUCAACGCUGGCGGCGCGCUUAACACAUGCAAGUCGAACGAGAAAGUGGAGCAAUCCAUGAGUAAAGUGGCGCACGGGUGAGUAACACGUGGAUCAUUUACCUUCUGGUGGGGAAUAACCUGGCGAAAGCUGGGCUAAUACCGCAUAACUCCGAGAGGAAAAAGCCGAAAGGCGCCGGGAGAGAAGUCCGCGGUCGAUUAGCUAGUUGGUAGGGUAAAAGCCUACCAAGGCUGCGAUCGAUAGCCGGCCUGAGAGGGCACACGGCCACACUGGCACUGAAACACGGGCCAGACUCCUACGGGAGGCAGCAGUGGGGAAUCUUGCACAAUGGGGGAAACCCUGAUGCAGCGACGCCGCGUGAGCGAUGAAGCCCUUCGGGGUGUAAAGCUCUUUCGUCGGGGACGAUAAUGACGGUACCCGGAGAAGAAGCUGCGGCUAACUACGUGCCAGCAGCCGCGGUAAUACGUAGGCAGCGAGCGUUGUUCGGAAUUACUGGGCGUAAAGAGUGCGUAGGCGGUUGGCCAAGUUUGGUGUGAAAUCUCCCGGCUUAACUGGGAGGGUGCGCCGAAAACUGGCCGACUAGAGUGUGGGAGAGGGAAGUGGAAUUCCUGGUGUAGCGGUGAAAUGCGUAGAUAUCAGGAGGAACACCUGCGGUGUAGACGGCUUCCUGGACCAUUACUGACGCUGAGGCACGAAAGCGUGGGGAGCAAACAGGAUUAGAUACCCUGGUAG